UCGGCCACACUGGGACUGAGACACGGCCCAGACUCCUACGGGAGGCAGCAGUAGGGAAUCUUCCGCAAUGGACGAAAGUCUGACGGAGCAACGCCGCGUGAGUGAUGAAGGUUUUCGGAUCGUAAAGCUCUGUUGUUAGGGAAGAACAAGUGCGAGAGUAACUGCUCGCACCUUGACGGUACCUAACCAGAAAGCCACGGCUAACUACGUGCCAGCAGCCGCGGUAAUACGUAGGUGGCAAGCGUUGUCCGGAAUUAUUGGGCGUAAAGGGCUCGCAGGCGGUUUCUUAAGUCUGAUGUGAAAGCCCCCGGCUCAACCGGGGAGGGUCAUUGGAAACUGGGAAACUUGAGUGCAGAAGAGGAGAGUGGAAUUCCACGUGUAGCGGUGAAAUGCGUAGAGAUNGUGGAGGAACACCANGUGGCGAAGGCGACUCUCUGGUCUGUAACUGACGCUGAGGAGCGAAAGCGUGGGGAGCGAACAGGAUUAGAUACCCUGGUAGUCCACGCCGUAAACGAUGAGUGCUAAGUGUUAGGGGGUUUCCGCCCCUUAGUGCUGCAGCUAACGCAUUAAGCACUCCGCCUGGGGAGUACGGNUCGCNAAGACUGAAACUCAAAGGAAUUGACGGGGGCCCGCACAAGCGGUGGAGCAUGUGGUUUAAUUCGAAGCAACGCGAAGAACCUUACCAGGUCUUGACAUCCUCUGACAACCCUAGAGAUAGGGCUUUCCCUUCGGGGACAGAGUGACAGGUGGUGCAUGGUUGUCGUCAGCUCGUGUCGUGAGAUGUUGGGUUAAGUCCCGCAACGAGCGCAACCCUUGAUCUUAGUUGCCAGCAUUCAGUUGGGCACUCUAAGGUGACUGCCGGUGACAAACCGGAGGAAGGUGGGGAUGACGUCAAAUCAUCAUGCGCCUUAUGACCUGGGCUACACACGUGCUACAAUGGACAGAACAAAGGGCUGCAAGACCGCAAGGUUUAGCCAAUCUCAUAAAUCUGUUCUCAG
rnacentral:rRNA from 1 species